UACGAAGGGGGCUAGCGUUGUUCGGAUUUACUGGGCGUAAAGCGCACGUAGGCGGGUCGUUAAGUCAGGGGUGAAAUCCCGGAGCUCAACUCCGGAACUGCCUUUGAUACUGGCGACCUUGAGGCUGGAAGAGGUUAGUGGAAUUCCCAGUGUAGAGGUGAAAUUCGUAGAUAUUGGGAAGAACACCAGUGGCGAAGGCGGCUCACUGGUCCGGUACUGACGCUGAG
rnacentral:rRNA from 1 species